CCUAGGGAGGCUGCAGUGGGGAAUAUUGGACAAUGGGCGAAAGCCUGAUCCAGCCAUGCCGCGUGUGUGAAGAAGGCCUUCGGGUUGUAAAGCACUUUCAGUGGGGAAGAAAGCCUUGGGGCUAAUACCCUCGAGGAAGGACAUCACCCACAGAAGAAGCACCGGCUAACUCCGUGCCAGCAGCCGCGGUAAUACGGAGGGUGCGAGCGUUAAUCGGAAUUACUGGGCGUAAAGCGCGCGUAGGCGGUCUGAUAAGCCGGUUGUGAAAGCCCCGGGCUCAACCUGGGAACGGCAUCCGGAACUGUCAGGCUAGAGUGCAGGAGAGGAAGGUAGAAUUCCCGGUGUAGCGGUGAAAUGCGUAGAGAUCGGGAGGAAUACCAGUGGCGAAGGCGGCCUUCUGGACUGACACUGACGCUGAGGUGCGAAAGCGUGGGUAGCAAACAGGAUUAGAUACCCGGGUAGUC
rnacentral:rRNA from 1 species